rnacentral:sRNA from 1 species
UGUUCGGAAUAUACUCUUGCGUGACGCU